rnacentral:misc_RNA from 1 species
AUGAAGAACGCAGCGAAAUACGAUAAGUAGUGUGAAUUGCAGAAUUCAGUGAAUCAUCGAAUCUUUGAACGCACAUUGCGCCUCCUGGUAUUCCGGGAGGCAUGCCUGUUCGAGCGUCAUUAAAAUCACUCAAGCUUAGGUUUACCUAUUGCUUGGUCUUGGAGAUGGAAGCCAAUUUAUUGGAAUCCUCUUCGAAAUUCAAUGGCGAAGACCCUUGCUCUCCCAAGUGUAGUAAUAACUUAUGUCACUGAAGGAAGCGAGAAAUCUUCUGCCGUAACCCCCAUAUUUUCUAUGAUUGACCUCGGAUCAGGUAGGGAUACCCGCUGAACUUAAGCAUAUCAAUAAGCGGAGGA